AUUGAACGCUGGCGGCAUGCUUUACACAUGCAAGUCGAACGGUAACAGGCCUUCGGGUGCUGACGAGUGGCGAACGGGUGAGCAAUGCAUCGGAACGUACCCAGAGGUGGGGGAUAACGCAGCGAAAGCUGUGCUAAUACCGCAUGUGAUCUGAGGAUGAAAGCGGGGGACCGAGCAGCAAUGUUUGGCCUCGCGCCUUUGGAGCGGCCGAUGUCGGAUUAGCUAGUUGGUGGGGUAAAGGCCUACCAAGGCGACGAUCCGUAGCUGGUCUGAGAGGACGACCAGCCACACUGGGACUGAGACACGGCCCAGACUCCUACGGGAGGCAGCAGUGGGGAAUUUUGGACAAUGGGCGCAAGCCUGAUCCAGCAAUGCCGCGUGCGGGAAGAAGGCCUUCGGGUUGUAAACCGCUUUUGGCAGGAACGAAACGGUGUCCGCUAAUACCGGGCGCUAAUGACGGUACCUGCAGAAUAAGCACCGGCUAACUACGUG
rnacentral:rRNA from 1 species